CAGGGAUCGGUUGCUAUGGUUACACAGCGUCUUCGCGCUGCUCUACUUCCUGCUCAGCGUCCUCUGUAUGCGCCAUCAUUCGGCCUCAUUGCAUUACCGGGAGGAUGAGAAGGUGGUGAGGACGCUGAUGGUGACUCGAAUCCCACGGGAAAUCUCCGACUCCUCCCUCCUCACCAAACAUUUCCACGAGGCGUACCCCAGCUGUACCGUCACCGAUGUGCAGUUCUGCUAUGACGUCCGGCGGUUGAUGAAUCUGGAUAUGGAAAGGUGAGGAAACGCUCC